AGAUUGUUCUCCCUAAGAUACCAUGAUCAUGAAGGUGGUUUUCCUGGGGCAAGGCUUACCCAUUGCACUCCGGAUGUGCUGACCCUGAAAUUACUCCAAAUAUGGGAAACUUGAUACAUAAUUUGUGCUAGUGGGGGACAGUGUUGGCGCUCUCCCCUA